ACCCCCCUUUCCCUUAGAUGACCUAGCCGCCAUUCACCGUAAAGCCCCUAUUCCCUGACUCUCUCCACUCCCCAUUCUCCACACUCUCUUCCCACCAUUCACAAAGUCGCCGUCCUCUCAGCCCCUGGAAUCGCGGAUAGCACCUUCGCGGCGGCCCUUCCUCGUCGCGGUUCCAUCUUCUCGGCGCGGUCCUCCCUCAGUCCCUCCCUUCCUCGGCGCGGCUCUUUUUCUCCCUCCGUUCGUCGUCCUCAAUGCACUGCAGCCGCCGUCUCCUCUACGCCGUGUCUCUCUAGCCUCCUCGCACCAGGAGCCUUUGUCUUCCUCCACGCACUGGAGCCACCGUCUCCUCCACGCACAAGCAGGCGCCGUCGUCGUCCAUGACAUUGCCUCCAAGUUAGUUUGUUGCUCACUGUGUCCUGCUCAGUGCUCAGCUUCACCACCGCCUCUGCCUCUGGUCUGCCUCUGUUUCGCCGUUGUCAAUGAUUUUAAUACAUGUUUUGAUUUUUGAUUGAUGAAAUUGCUAUGGGUUGAAUUCUGUUAAUGUAAAAUUAGGAUUAGGUUUAUGGUUUGAAUUUUGUAAUUGAUAAAUUUGGAUCGAGUUAGAUUCUAGGGUUUGUGAAAUUGAGGCUAGGGUUUGUGAAAUUGGGACAUUUGUAUCAUAAUAAUGAAUUUAGGGUUUGGUCUCUGUUAAUAUAGAUAAAGCAGAAGCUAAAGUCUUCGUAGCUUAUUUCAGACCUCAGAUUUUGCUCUUCUAUUUUGUUUCAACGGAUUAGGUUGUUCUUUUUUU